rnacentral:rRNA from 1 species
AGGGGUUUGAUCCUGGCUCAGGAUGAACGCUAGCGGCAGGCCUAAUACAUGCAAGUCGAGGGGCAGCAUAGUAGCAAUACUGAUGGCGACCGGCGCACGGGUGCGUAACGCGUAUGCAACCUACCUUUUACUGUGGGAUAGCCCGGAGAAAUCCGGAUUAACACCGCAUAAUAUAAGAUUAAGGCAUCUUGAUUUUAUUAAAUAUUUAUAGGUAAAAGAUGGGCAUGCGUCCAAUUAGCUAGUUGGUGGUGUAACGGACCACCAAGGCUAUGAUUGGUAGGGGUUCUGAGAGGAAGGUCCCCCACACUGGUACUGAGAUACGGACCAGACUCCUACGGGAGGCAGCAGUAGGGAAUAUUGGGCAAUGGAGGAGACUCUGACCCAGCCAUGCCGCGUGCGGGAAGAAGGCCUUCUGGGUUGUAAACUGCUUUUGAUCGGGAACAAAGAGGCCAUGCGUGGCAAGUUGAGUGUACCGAUAGAAUAAGCACCGGCUAACUCCGUGCCAGCAGCCGCGGUAAUACGGAGGGUGCAAGCGUUGUCCGGAUUUAUUGGGUUUAAAGGGUGCGUAGGCGGCCCUGUAAGUCAGUGGUGAAAUACUGCAGCUUAACUGUAGCAUUGCCAAUGAUACUGUAGGGCUUGAGUACAGAUGAGGUAGGCGGAAUUGAUGGUGUAGCGGUGAAAUGCAUAGAUACCAUCAAGAACACCGAUUGCGAAGGCAGCUUUACUAAGCUGUAACUGACGCUGAGGCACGAAAGCGUGGGGAUCGAAC